UCUCCUGUAAAUGUUUUAUGUUUUGUGCAUGGGUUUAGGAUUGAUGUGUGAUUGGUUUUGGAUAGAAAGUGUUUAACUCUAAUUUUGCAAUUUGGAUUAACUUAAGAUCCAAUGCAUAUGAUAGGUUGGGUAACAAAAUCAACAAGUUAACCAACAUGAUUUACUCUUGUUAUUAUCAAUUUUCUUUUAACUCAAUGCAACUCUUGUUCUUUCCAUGUUUCUUUACAACAUUAAUAAGAGGGUGUUUACCUUUUUUAGCAUGUUUUUUGAGGCAGUGUUAGAUGAUGGAAGCCAAGUGAAGGAGAACAACUACAUUUAUGUAAGCCUGGUUUUACAAAGAAACAAGAAGAUCUUUUUUUCCCUCCAGACUUUGCUGAUGAUUUCCCAGUGGCAAUGCAGAUAUCCAAUAAGUACAGCCUGAUAUAUGUCAUCACAAAGCUUGGGCUCCUAUUUGUGUAUGACUUGGAGACCACUAAAGCAGUUUACAAAAAUCAAAUCAGUCCAGAGGCUAUAUUUUUUACAACAGAACCUUCAUCUGUAGGAGGCUUCUGUGCUGUCAAUAGGCGAGGGCAAGUGUUACUUGCAACCGUCAACGAAGUGACACUUGUGCCUUUCGUUAGUGGCCAAAUAUGUCUUUAGUCUUAU